rnacentral:rRNA from 1 species
UACGGCCACGACGACGCCGGCGGCCGGGAGGCGCUCGACUCCGUCUUCGCCCACAUUGUCGGCGCCGAGGCCGCCAUCGUGCGCCCCCAGUUCUUCUCCGGCACUCACGCCAUCGCCUGCGCUCUGUUCGCGCUGCUGUGGCCUGGACACGAGCUCUUGGCGGUCGCCGGGCCUCCCUACGACACCCUGGAGGAGGUCAUUGGGAUCAGGGAUUCGGCCAAUGUAGGAUCGCUCAAGGACUUUGGGGUGACCUACCGAGAAGUUCCGCUCGCAGCAGAUGGUGGCCUUGACUGGGCGCGCUUGCUUGUGCCGUCAGACCGGAGACUGGGUGCGCGCUCAUACAGAGGUCCUGUGGUUACUCGUGGCGCAAGAGCCUCGGCGUAGAUGAUAUCCGUAGAGCCAUCAAUUUGAUCAAGCUGCAAAAUCCAAACUGCAAGGUCAUGGUGGACAACUGCUAUGGUGAAUUCGUCGAGACAUCAGAGCCUCCAAUGGUGGGAGCAGAUCUUAUUGCUGGCAGCUUGAUAAAGAACCCCGGUGGUACCAUUGCGCCGUGUGGUGGCUACGUUGCCGGGAAGAAAGAUUUGGUUGCUGCAGCUGCAGCUCGCCUAUCUGCACCGGGCCUUGGGGUGGAGUUUGGGUCCGCACCUGGACAUGUUAUGCGAGCGAUGUUUCAGGGCUUGUUUCUUGCUCCGCAAAUGGUUGGAGAGGCAGUAAAAGGGGGUUUGCUAAUUGCAGAGGUCAUGUCAGCCAAGGGCUAUAGAGUUCAACCACUUCCAAGGGCGCCACGCCAUAAUAUUGUGCAGGCAGUAGAGCUUGGCAACAGGGAGAGACUCAUAGCAUUCUGUGAAGUUGUCCAACAAACCUGCCCAGUAGGAUCAUUUAUUACGCCAACCGCUGGGGAAACUCCGGGUUAUGCUUCAGAGGUCAUUUUUGCUGAUGGGACAUUCAUGGAUGGAAGCACAAGCGAGCUAUCAUGUGACGGGCCCUUAAGAGAUCCAUAUGCUGUCUUCUGUCAGGGAGGAACGCAUUGGACACAGUGGGCUCUUGUCCUGGGUGAAGUUCUGAAGGUCAUACAGCUGUUUGUUACCAGAACCAUGACUCAUUUCUGGACUGGAAGGUCAUAGCGCCGUUUGUUACCAAAAGACGUUCCAUUUCUUGAAAGGGAGCAGGAACCAUCAUCCUCACCAAAUUAUUUUUGUCGAACCCGAUGAGUGAUUUAAAGCAACAGUUGUCAAGGCUGUGAAGGAUCCGGCGGGCUUCAUCCUGAUGCAUUGGAUAGGUUCUGCCAUUGACUUGGCAGUUGAUGAGGUUACCGCUUUAAACCAUAGCAGGUGGUAUAGAAAUGCUUUGGAAUCGAUGUACCAUGCACCGGUUGUGUACCAACGGAUCCACUUUGCGUAUGUUUUUAUAUAUACUUGAAAUUUUGAAACUCAAUAGUUGGGAUCAGUUUUGUACGCCA